rnacentral:lncRNA from 1 species
AACAAGCGCGCUCUCUGUCUUUUUCGCUCUCUCUGGCUUGUUUCAGAUGUACUUGGUGUAAUAAGGUGCCCACUCGCGCCGCGGUGGAUCGGCGCGUCCUGCCACAGUGAUCGAGUUUUGCGUUUCAUCCUUGACAACAGAUUCAACACCUGAAUUUGGAGCGAUUCAUCAACGGAGAAGAUGCUACGUACGUACUCUCUAAUUUGUUGAGAACUCUUUUCAGCCUCUGUUCCCAGCCUGCAAUGCACAGCAAUGUUACCUUGACUUCCAUCUCGCCCAGAUGUUUGGAACGAGUGCUUGGUGGAGCUCUUUCCAUUCUGUAGUAGCAAAAGAGUGUGCCCCCAUCAUCCUUCUAAAAAGAUAACUCCACCAACGUUCUCGCUGGAUUUCCUUUUAGUUGGUCGGUCUUUCGCAGGGCACCGACAAAUCGAAAAAAGAGAAUAAGAAUCCACUUAUUAAAGUUUAUUGUUUUGAAAGGUGUUCAAGUUUCUAUGGUUUGGAUGACUUGCUGGAAGCAAGACCUGGAGCAAGCCGAGAUGGUCCCUCAAAGGCAUGCUGUAGAGAGUCUAAGUUGCCGUGCAUGCUCACCAGCGCACAGAUGGAUCAAAGCUCCAUCUCUCAGCUGAUUAUGCCUUCCCAAAUAAGGAUAUCUCCCCGACUGGAGCUUUCAUUUAACAAGAAGCUAA